rnacentral:rRNA from 1 species
GGAUGAACGCUGGCGGCGCGCCUAACACAUGCAAGUCGAACGGCACCCCUCUCCGGAGGGAAGCGAGUGGCGAACGGCUGAGUAACACGUGGAGAACCUGCCCCCUCCCCCGGGAUAGCCGCCCGAAAGGACGGGUAAUACCGGAUACCCCGGGGUGCCGCAUGGCACCCCGGCUAAAGCCCCGACGGGAGGGGAUGGCUCCGCGGCCCAUCAGGUAGACGGCGGGGUGACGGCCCACCGUGCCGACAACGGGUAGCCGGGUUGAGAGACCGACCGGCCAGAUUGGGACUGAGACACGGCCCAGACUCCUACGGGAGGCAGCAGUGGGGAAUCUUGCGCAAUGGGGGGAACCCUGACGCAGCGACGCCGCGUGCGGGACGGAGGCCUUCGGGUCGUAAACCGCUUUCAGCAGGGAAGAGUCAAGACUGUACCUGCAGAAGAAGCCCCGGCUAACUACGUGCCAGCAGCCGCGGUAAUACGUAGGGGGCGAGCGUUAUCCGGAUUCAUUGGGCGUAAAGCGCGCGUAGGCGGCCCGGCAGGCCGGGGGUCGAAGCGGGGGGCUCAACCCCCCGAAGCCCCCGGAACCUCCGCGGCUUGGGUCCGGUAGGGGAGGGUGGAACACCCGGUGUAGCGGUGGAAUGCGCAGAUAUCGGGUGGAACACCGGUGGCGAAGGCGGCCCUCUGGGCCGAGACCGACGCUGAGGCGCGAAAGCUGGGGGAGCGAACAGGAUUAGAUACCCUGGUAGUCCCAGCCGUAAACGAUGGACGCUAGGUGUGGGGGGACGAUCCCCCCGUGCCGCAGCCAACGCAUUAAGCGUCCCGCCUGGGGAGUACGGCCGCAAGGCUA